UGGAGAAACAUCAUUGAGUGCAGCGUUGAUGAAAUCCUAAAUACUAGCAACUAUAUUGUGCUUAUCUUAAAGAGAUAUGUCAAAUAUUAGUAUAUGUUUAGUUUCGUUGACGCUGCACUUAAUCAUGUUUUUU
rnacentral:pre_miRNA from 1 species